CCGGAAACGAGAAAUUGACCAACGGUCAGUGUGACCUUGACCUUUGACCUACUGACCCCAAAAACAAUAGGGAUCAUCAGCUCUAUAAGACCAAUCAUCCUAUGAAGUUUGAGGGCUGUAGGUCAAAAGGAACUCUAGUUAUCGUCCGGAAACGAAGAAUGGACGGACGGACGGACUGACGGACGGACUGACGGACGGACUGACGGACGGACGGACUGACGGACGGACAGGGCAAAAACAAUAUGUCUCCCCCCGAGGUGGGGGAGACAUAAU